rnacentral:rRNA from 1 species
CAAGCAGCGGAGCGUGUGGUUUAAUUUCGAGGCUACACGAGAACUUACCAGGUUUGACAUGCAAGUGGUAGGAAUCCGAAAGGUGACCGACCCUUCGGGAGGCUUGCACAGGUGCUGCAUGGCUGUCGUCAGCUCGUGUCGUGAGAUGUUCGGUUAAGUCCGCUAACGAGCGCAACCCUCGUCGUGUGUUAUACGUGUCACACGAUACUGCCGGUAUCAAGCCGGAGGAAGGUGGGGAUGAUGUCAAGUCAGCAUGGCCUUUAUAUCCUGGGCUACACACACGCUACAAUGGCAGAUACAAUAGGUUGCGAAACCGCGAGGUAGAGCCAAUCCUCAAAGUCUGUCUCAGUUCAGAUUGUAGGCUGCAACUCGCCUGCAUGAAGUUGGAGUUGCUAGUAAACGCAGGUCAGCUAUACUGCGUUGAAUACGUUCCCGGGGUUU